CCUACGGGUGGCAGCAGUGAGGAAUAUUGGUCAAUGGACGAGAGUCUGAACCAGCCAAGUAGCGUGAAGGAUGACUGCCCUAUGGGUUGUAAACUUCUUUUAUAUGGGAAUAAAAUGUUCCACGUGUGGGAUUUUGUAUGUACCAUAUGAAUAAGGAUCGGCUAACUCCGUGCCAGCAGCCGCGGUAAUACGGAGGAUCCGAGCGUUAUCCGGAUUUAUUGGGUUUAAAGGGAGCGUAGGUGGAUUGUUAAGUCAGUUGUGAAAGUUUGCGGCUCAACCGUAAAAUUGCAGUUGAAACUGGCAGUCUUGAGUACAGUAGAGGUGGGCGGAAUUCGUGGUGUAGUGGUGAAAUGCUUAGAUAUCACGAAGAACUCCGAUUGCGAAGGCAGUUCACUGGACUGCAACUGACACUGAGGCUCGAAAGUGUGGGUAUCAAACAGGAUUAGAUACCCGUGUAGUC
rnacentral:rRNA from 1 species